ACACAUGCAAGUCGAGGGGUAGAGGCUUUCGGGCCUUGAGACCGGCGCACGGGUGCGUAACGCGUAURCAAUCUGCCUUGUACUGGGGGAUAGCCCAGAGAAAUUUGGAUUAAUACCCCAUAGUAUUUUCGGUUGGCAUCAACUGAUUAUUAAAGUUUUUCGGUACAAGAUGAGCAUGCGUCCCAUUAGCUAGUUGGUAUGGUAACGGCAUACCAAGGCUACGAUGGGUAGGGGUCCUGAGAGGGAGAUCCCCCACACUGGUACUGAGACACGGACCAGACUCCUACGGGAGGCAGCAGUBAGGAAUAUUGGUCAAUGGUCGCAAGACUGAACCAGCCAUGCCGCGUGCAGGAUGAAGCAUCUAUGGUGUGUAAACUGCUUUUGUACGGGAAGAAACACUCCUACGUGUAGGAGCUUGACGGUACCGUAAGAAUAAGGAUCGGCUAACUCCGUGCCAACAGCCGCGGUAAUACGGRGGAUCCAAGCGUUAUCCGGAAUCAUUGGGUUUAAAGGGUCCGUAGGCGGCUUUAUAAGUCAGUGGUGAAAUCCGGCAGCUUAACUGUCGGAAUUGCCAUUGAUACUGUAGGGCUUGAAUUGUUGUGAAGUACUAGRAUAUGUAGUGUAGCGGUGAAAUGCUUAGAUAUUACAUGGGAUACCAAUUGCGAGGCAGGUUACUAACAUUACAUUGACGGUGAUGGCCGAAAGCGUGGGUAGCGAACAGGGUUAGRUMCCCUGGGUAGUCCMCGGUGUAACCG
rnacentral:rRNA from 1 species